CCCGCCCUCUCCAGCCUCCGCGAGAGCUGCUGCACCAGGAGUCCGAGGCCGAGCCGCCCCACGCAGCAGCCCCUGCCUUUGGGGUGCGCAGGCCCCUCCCUGCCCUGCUGGAGUGGGGGAGGUUGUGAUCCCUGUUUGAGGGAUGGGGAAACUGAGGCCAGGGGCCGCACAGCUGAAGAAGCGGCCCCUGAGUGACAGACUGUUUCCCUCCGCCCCAUCGGCUCGUACAGCGGGGGACUUAAGUCUCCAAGUGCCCUUAUCUGUACCCGCAAGUGAUCGCAGCACAGCACUGCUGACCCAAUUCACAGACACCAAGUCAGAGGUGUGGUUGUGGCUCCUUACGAAGAGCCAUAGUUUGUGAAAGAACUUUUGGGUGAAUACUCUGUGGGCCUGAUGACUUGCAGCUGUCACCAUACCUCACAAGGAGUAGACAAGAGAGGGAACUGAAGAACCCAUGCCUAGGAAUGCCUGCUGCAGAGAUCCUACCUGAUCAUGCUGGAGCACGCCAGGAUGAGGUGGUUUUCCCUAGGUCAGGCCUGUUUGUAAGUAUACUGAUUGCAUGCUUAUGAAUACUUUGUUACUGUAUUGGGUGUAGUGACUAUUUAUUUUUAGGGUUCUAGGCAUGUUUACAGCAAUUGUAUAAAAUAUCAUUUGGCCUUUGGAUUUAAGAAAGGAAUUGUUGAUUAAAUUAGUGUCUGGUGGUCUCCAAUAAUUUCAGAUACUAUUAAUGAUUCCAGAAUUUUUGGCGACCACGAAAGGACCCCUGACAUUAAUUUCGGUAGCCUGUUAUCUGGGGACAAUAUAGAAUUCUUUCCUAAAGAGAAAUUCAAUAAAAUAAGGGGACUAGAGGGAGGUACUUUAGAUACCUAUGUAAAAGAAUGCUUGGCAGAGCAUGGCAGAGGUCUGUUGAAUGCCACUGAUUUUAAAACAAAAACAAAAACAAAAACAUUGGCAGCCACAGAAAAAACAGUAUCUAGUUUCUUUUACCCUAAGGCAAAGAAAGCCAAAAUAAAGCAGCAGUUUUACAAGC